rnacentral:rRNA from 1 species
AAUUAUUAGUAGUAAAAGGUGAAAUUAGAUUGUUAUUAAAUAAUUAAAAUAUAUCAAAACUGAAGCUAAAAAAGUUUGAUUAAAGACUAGGAUUAGAUACCCUAUUAUUUUAAAUUUAAAUAUUAAUAAACUCUAGAUAAGUAGUAGAUAGGUACUUAAAAAUUAAAAAAUUUGGCGGUGAUUUAAUCUUUUCAGAGGAACUUGUUUUUUAAUCGAUAAACCACGUUUAAUCUUACUUAUUUUGGUAUAAACAGUAUGUAUACCAUCAUUAACAGGUAAUUUUAAAAGAAAAAAUUACUAAAAAUAAUUAAUUAAAAAAAUUAGAUCAUGGUGCAGCUUAUAAAUAAGGUAAAAUGAGUUACAAUAAAGUUUUUUAUAUGAAUUAGUAAAGGAAGAGUUUACUAUAAAGGUGGAUUUGAUUGUAAAUGUGGAUUAAUAAGCUUAUUUGAUAUUGGUGCUAAAUCAUGUACAUAUCGCCCGUCGCUUUCGC